CAGUCGCCACGGUAAUACGUAGGGUGCAAGCGUUAAUCGGAAUUACUGGGCGUAAAGCGUGCGCAGGCGGUUUGUUAAGACAGAUGUGAAAUCCCCGGGCUCAACCUGGGAACUGCAUUUGUGACUGGCAAGCUAGAGUGUGGCAGAGGGGGGUGGAAUUCCGCGUGUAGCAGUGAAAUGCGUAGAUAUGCGGAGGAACACCGAUGGCGAAGGCAGCCCCCUGGGCCAACACUGACGCUCAUGCACGAAAGCGUGGGGAGCAAACAGGAAUAGAUACCCCGGUAGUCCCUGUCUCUUAUAC
rnacentral:rRNA from 1 species